UGGGCCCCUCCUGUCAUCUGCCCUUCUUAGAUUUCAGUUUCCAGAUGUUCUGGGCUCUCCAUUUCUAUUUCUUGUGCCGUCACCUUGAUUAAAGACACUGCCAGGCCAGGAACCAGGAGCUUUCUUUCUUGCAUGACCUGACCUGCUGGUCUCCACUGCGUUCAUCACUCCUGCUGGUCUCCACUGCGUUCAUCACUCCUGCUGGUCUCCACUGCGUUCAUCACUCCUGCUGGUCUCCACUGCGUUCAUCACUCCGGGUCCACUGCAAAAGUCCCUGUCUCCGGAGCCUCUUGGCCUUGUCUGGUUUCUAUCACAUCAUUUUGCUUUUGCUUGUUUUUCUGUUAUCAAUUAAAGGCCCCCUGUUGCGGGUGAUUGAUUUGUUAA